rnacentral:rRNA from 1 species
GACGAACGCUGGCGGCGUGCUUAACACAUGCAAGUCGAGCGGUAAGGCCCUUUCGGGGGUACACGAGCGGCGAACGGGUGAGUAACACGUGGGUGACCUGCCCCUCAGGCUCUGGGAUAAAGCCUGGGAAACCGGGUCUAAUACCGGAUAUGACUCCAUGACGCAUGUUGUGGGGUGGAAAGCCUUGUGCGGCUGAGGAUGGGCCCGCGGCCUAUCAGCUUGUUGGUGGGGNGAUGGCCUACCAAGGCGACGACGGGUAGCCGGCCUGAGAGGGCGACCGGCCACACUGGGACUGAGACACGGCCCAGACUCCUACGGGAGGCAGCAGUGGGGAAUCUUGCGCGAAUGGGCGAAAGCCUGACGCAGCGACGCCGCGUGAGGGAUGACGGCCUCGGUUGUAA